rnacentral:rRNA from 1 species
UACGUAGGCAGCAAGCGUUGUUCGGAGUUACUGGGCGUAAAGGGUGUGUAGGCGGUUCUUUAAGUUUGGUGUGAAAUCUCCCGGCUCAACUGGGAGGGUGCGCCGAAUACUGAGGGACUAGAGUACGGGAGAGGAAAGUGGAAUUCCUGGUGUAGCGGUGAAAUGCGUAGAUAUCAGGAGGAACACCGGUGGUGUAGACGGCUUUCUGGACCGACACUGACGCUGAAACACGAAAGCGUGGGUAGCAAACAGG